AAAUAGAUAGGCUCAGUGGUAGAGAGUGUGCUUAGCAUGCACGAGGCCCUGGGUUUAAUCCCCAGUCCCUUUA
rnacentral:tRNA from 1 species